rnacentral:rRNA from 1 species
UUGGUCAUUUAGAGGAAGUAAAAGUCGUAACAAGGUCUCCGUAGGUGAACCUGCGGAGGGAUCAUUACAAGUGACCCCGGUCUAACCACCGGGAUGUUCAUAACCCUUUGUUGUCCGACUCUGUUGCCUCCGGGGCGACCCUGCCUUCGGGCGGGGGCUCCGGGUGGACACUUCAAACUCUUGCGUAACUUUGCAGUCUGAGUAAACUUAAUUAAUAAAUUAAAACUUUCAACAACGGAUCUCUUGGUUCUGGCAUCGAUGAAGAACGCAGCGAAAUGCGAUAAGUAAUGUGAAUUGCAGAAUUCAGUGAAUCAUCGAAUCUUUGAACGCACAUUGCGCCCGCCAGUAUUCUGGCGGGCAUGCCUGUCCGAGCGUCAUUUCAACCCUCAAGCCCCCGGGCUUGGUGUUGGGGAUCGGCUCCUCCUCCUCUCCGGGGGGUGUUGCCGGCCCCGAAAUCUAGUGGCGGUCUCGCUGUAGCCUCCUCUGCGUAGUAGCAACACCUCGCACUGGAACGCGGCGCGGCCACGCCGUUAAACCCCCCACUUCUGAAGGUUGACCUCGGAUCAGGUAGGAAUACCCGCUGAACUUAAGCAUAUCAAUAAGCGGAGGA